UUUAUUUAUUUAUUUAAAAGAGAAGGGUGUCGGUGGUAGAAAUGUAAUUAUCUCCAACUUUACAAGGAUAAUGAGUUAUUAACAAUUCAUAAUCUGAUUUUAGCUGGGUAGAGUAGAUUGUGAGUUUUUAAUAAUGUGUCCAUCUAAUUUUUAUAAUCUAUACCAUAAUAUGUCCUUUUUGAAGAUGAAAUAGAUUAUAAAAGCUAGAUUAUAUAAUCUGAGUGGUUUCAAACAUGACCUAAAUGUAUCGCCAAAUCACCAUCUUUGUUUGAUUCUCAAAGCCUCCCAUGUUGCCGCUACUAACCGUUAACCGAAGAUGACACUUUUUGUUUCUGGCAUUCCUUUUCAUCAUUGUUGCUAAUGUCGAACAAGCAUAGACAACCGCUAUUCCAUCCCAACAAAGACACACAAAAUCUGAUUGCUCGUCCCCUUGAGUUACGUGAGAGCAUGCGGUAUAAGAUGACUCGGCAUGAGUGGAUGAGGGAUAGUAGAGCCUUGAAGUGGCCAAGUAGAAUGAGCAAGUACAACAGUGCAUGCUGUAAUUUUGGCUAUCAGUCGGUAGUUCCCAAUGCCUCCAAUACCUAUGUCUAUCAAAAACCUCAGUUGUGCUAAGAUGCAACAAAUAAUACACUCAAUGAUACUGGAUAAUUCCAAGGUGUGGGAGUGAAAAGUAUGAAAUAAGCUAUUGAUCUCCUCACUGGCAAACCCCUCGCUCUUUAUAGAUCAUCUGAAUGGUGGAUAGUGACGUAAAUAUUGUACAUGGGUGUGCUAAGCAAAUGAUCUUUCACUUGAGAAAAAAAUAAUCCAUUUGUUGUAUACCCUGCACACAUUUCACUGUUAGUCAAUUUUUCAGGCUAAGACAGGGUUGUGUCGCCAUGCUUAGGCCUUGGACAUUGCAGAGCACAGCGAGUGAUAGGGGUUGUUGCCAUUUCGCCGGCGGGGGCUGUCAAAUUUUUUCUCCUUUUCGAUUUUACUUAUUUCAAUUAUUUUCCAUACUUUUUUGUACUUUUGGUAAUAUAAGGUGAAUUUGUUUUCCCUUUCUGCGGGAGAGGUUAACUUUCUUCCCAAUAUAGGGUGAACCUUUUUUUGGUGUGAAUGAUGAACAAUUCCUUAAUGUACGAAGACCAC
rnacentral:lncRNA from 1 species